rnacentral:rRNA from 1 species
UACGGGGGGGAGCAAGCGUUGUUCGGAUUUACUGGGCGUAAAGGGCGCGUAGGCGGCCACCGCAAGUCAGUUGUGAAAUCUCCGGGCUUAACUCGGAAAGGUCAACUGAUACUGUGCGACUAGAGUGCAGAAGGGGCAACUGGAAUUCUCGGUGUAGCGGUGAAAUGCGUAGAUAUCGAGAGGAACACCUGCGGCGAAGGCGGGUUGCUGGGCUGACACUGACGCUGAUGCGCGAAAGCCAGGGGAGCGAACGGG